AUUGAACGCUGGCGGCAGGCCUAACACAUGCAAGUCGAACGCGUGGCGGACGGGUGAGUAAUGUCUGGGAAACUGCCUGAUGGCGGGGGAUAACUACUGGAAACGGUAGCUAAUACCGCAUACCAUCAGAUGUGCCCAGAUGGGAUUAGCUUGUUGGUGGGGUAACGGCUUACCAAGGCGACGAUCCCUAGCUGGUCUGAGAGGAUGACCAGCCACACUGGAACUGAGACACGGUCCAGACUCCUACGGGAGGCAGCAGUGGGGAAUAUUGCACAAUGGGCGCAAGCCUGACGCAGCCACGCCGCGUGUAUGAAGAAGGCCUUCGGGUUGUAAAGUACUGUCAGCGGGGAGGCGGUACCUGCAGAGGAAGCACCGGCUAACUCCGUGCCAGCCGCCGCGGUAAUUC
rnacentral:rRNA from 1 species